GGGCGAGUAGCUCAGUUGGUUAGAGCGCCUGCCUUACAAGCAGGAGGUCGCAGGUUCGAUUCCUGUCUUGCCCA
rnacentral:tRNA from 1 species